UACGUAGGGUGCGAGCGUUAAUCGGAAUUACUGGGCGUAAAGCGUGCGCAGGCGGUUAUGGAGGACAGAUGUGAAAUCCCCGGGCUCAACCUGGGAACUGCAUUUGUGACUGCAUGGCUAGAGUACGGUAGAGGGGGAUGGAAUUCCGCGUGUAGCAGUGAAAUGCGUAGAUAUGCGGAGGAACACCGAUGGCGAAGGCAAUCCCCUGGACCUGUACUGACGCUCAUGCACGAAAGCGUGGGGAGCAAACAGG
rnacentral:rRNA from 1 species